rnacentral:rRNA from 1 species
GUCAAGCAUAGAAGUGCAUCUGGUGGAUGCCUUGGCAGCUGAAGGCGAUGAAGGACGUUGUAGCCUGCGAUAAGCCUCGGGGAGUCGGCAAACAGACUUUGAUCCGGAGAUUUCCGAAUGGGGAAACCCAUCGUACUUGUACGAUAUCUGCACCUGAAUACAUAGGGUGUAGAAGCAAACCCGGGGAA